AUUACUUUAGUCCAGGGGCAGAACACUUGUCAUGUCUACAGGAGGUGUGGGUUCAAGUCCCACAAGCAACC
rnacentral:tRNA from 1 species